rnacentral:rRNA from 1 species
CCAAUAGCGUAUAUUAAAGUUGUUGCAGUUAAAAAGCUCGUAGUUGAAUUUCGGGAUCAAUUAAUUGGUCGUGCCUCUGGUACGUACUGAUUUUAUUGGUCUCUCCCUUCUGACGAACCAUGAUGUCAUUAAUUUGGUGUCGUGGAGAAUCAGGACUGUUACUUUGAAAAAAUUAGAGUGUUUAAAGCAAGCUAACGCUUGAAUACAUUAGCAUGGAAUAAUGAAAUAGGACGUUUGACCCUAUUUUGUUGGUUUCUAGGAUCGACGUAAUGAUUAAUAGGGAUAGUUGGGGGCAUUAGUAUUCAAUUGUCAGAGGUGAAAUUCUUGGAUUUAUUGAAGACUAACUACUGCGAAAGCAUUUGCCAAGGAUGUUUUCAUUAAUCAAGAACGAAAGUUAGGGGAUCGAAGACGAUCAGAUACCGUCGUAGUCUUAACCAUAAACUAUGCCGACUAGGGAUCGGAUGAUGUUAAUUUUUUAAUGACUCAUUCGGCGCCUUACG